rnacentral:rRNA from 1 species
UACAGAGGGUGCGAGCGUUAAUCGGAAUUACUGGGCGUAAAGCGCGCGUAGGCGGCUUUGCAAGUCGGGUGUGAAAUCCCCAGGCUUAACCUGGGAACUGCAUUCGAGACUGCAUUGCUAGAGUAUGGGAGAGGGAAGUGGAAUUUCCGGUGUAGCGGUGAAAUGCGUAGAUAUCGGAAGGAACAUCAGUGGCGAAGGCGACUUCCUGGACCGACACUGACGCUGAUGAGCGAAAGCCAGGGGAGCAAACGGG